UGAAGUGUCAUUGGCAUUUCGUACGUGCCACCAGUCACAUCCAUCGAACCAGUCGAAUCUGCAAUUGAAUUCGCGCAUCUGAGCAAGAGCCACCAUUCAAAAACUUCGUGGGGGGUGAGCGAGCGGCGGCCAAGGCGGGAAAGCUUGGCGCCACUCACGAACGAGAGCCCGGAGACUGAGCCCCAGAGAGUCUAGAGAAGGAGACCCCGGAGCAAGAGCUACAGCGAGAGGCUGACGAGUGACUAAUACCGUUAUGCCGCCGCUGCCUAUACGCAAAAGUCAUCGUGCGAAAUGCGAACAGGGAAAGGCGAAUUCUGAAUAUACGAGAGAACGGCCACAAAAGGCCGUAUAGGCAGUGAAAAGCUGCCACUCACGUGGCUCCAUGCGUGACUUAACCGGCACAGCCACCCCCCCGGGAAAGUGUAACGUGUUAUUCAUGGAACUCGUCGUUGAGUCAAUACAAAAUAAUUUUCUUUCAAUUGUUGUCGGCCCAUUCGCACACACACACACGCACACACAGACGGCCAGCACACGGACGGCGUGCGAAGGCGAAGAGUCAACGUGCUGCCACAGCCACCCGCUGCCGCCCUACUUCAUUUCACCCAGACACCACCCACAGGGCGGCCACACGGCGCCCUUCCCGAUGGCCACACAGGUGGCAGCCUCACCUGGUUGAGCUUAACCCCAAGCCGGUGGCCAGGGGUCUUACUCGCUGAAUUAUUUUCUUCGCUAGGCUAUUAUGUGAAAUAAGUUUGUCUUUGUUCAGCCGAGUCAAUCUAAAAUUAUAUUCUUAUUUUCUUCGCUAUAUCUUGGCUAUUAUGUGGCGUAAGUUUGUCUUUGUAGACUGUCUGUCGGUUUGUUUUGUCAUAGGAAUAUUGGUAAGCUUUAUCCUCAUUUAGUAGAUUUUGUAGAUGAGAUGGCUUUGAAGGUGGAAGAAAGAAAAUAUAAAUAAUGGAGUCCCCAAAGGAACACUUCAAAAAAUAGUAAAUAUAAUAGUUACAAUUCAGAAAUAUAUACAAGCUUUUACAAGUCAAAUUUAAAGCUUUCACAGAGUCCAAGUUUUAAAGAAUAAUAAUGCCUGUAUGGCACAAGUUUCUAAAAUUCAGAAAAUGCCUAACUUAACUAAGAGCUUAAUAAUAAAAAACAAAUAAAUUCCAA